rnacentral:rRNA from 1 species
UACGUAGGGUGCAAGCGUUAAUCGGAAUUACUGGGCGUAAAGCGUGCGCAGGCGGCUUUGCAAGACAGAUGUGAAAUCCCCGGGCUCAACCUGGGAACUGCAUUUGUGACUGCAUGGCUAGGGUACGGUAGAGGGGGAUGGAAUUCCGCGUGUAGCAGUGAAAUGCGUAGAUAUGCGGAGGAACACCGAUGGCGAAGGCAAUCCCCUGGACCUGUACUGACGCUCAUGCACGAAAGCGUGGGGAGCAAACAGG